rnacentral:rRNA from 1 species
ACGAACGCUGGCGGCGUGCUUCACACCUGCCAGUCGUACGGUAAGGCCCUUUCGGGGGUCCCCGAGUGGCGAACGGGUGAGUAACACGUGAGUAACCUGCCCACAACUUUGGGAUAACGCUAGGAAACUGGUGCUAAUACUGGAUAUGUGCUCCUGCUGCAUGGUGGGGGUUGGAAAGCUCCGGCGGUUGUGGAUGGACUCGCGGCCUAUCAGCUUGUUGGUGGGGUAGUGGCCUACCAAGGCGGCGACGGGUAGCCGGCCUGAGAGGGUGACCGGCCACAUUGGGACUGAGAGACGGCCCAGACUCCUACGGGAGGCAGCAGGGGGGAAUAUUGCACAAUGGGCGCAAGCCUGAUGCAGCAACGCCGCGUGCGGGAUGACGGCCUUCGGGUGGUAAACCGCUUUCAGCAGGGACGAAGCUUUUUGUGACGGUACCUGCAGAAGAAGCACCGGCUAACUACG